GGAACAGGAGAGCCAUGUGGGGCAGAACUACUCACAGUCUGAAAGAGUAAAAUCCAGGUCAGGAACAAAUCCAUACUGUUCUCAAGGAGAACAGUCAGCUCACCAAUUGGUGAAAAAAGGUGUGGGUUGUUUUUUUGUGUGUGUGUUUUUGUCAUCUCAAAGAACAUCUCAACAUUCUUCUAAAUUGUUUUUUAACGGACGAGAGUGCUGACUGAGAACUGAUGCGGUGUGAGAACUAACGUGCAUGGCUCUACUUAUCAUGGUACUGCUCUGUCGCUCUUAAAAUACUUUCCAUUUCUGCAGAUAUUGGCAAGACAGACGUAUGUAAGAGCAAGGCAAACAGGUAAAGCUAUGGUGAGACUAUUUGAAUGAUCAUUAUCCAUUAACAGCUUCAUAAGUAUGAAUAAGUAAAUAGGGAAUGCAUUAUUCAUGAAUCACUAGGCAUUAAUUAUUGUAAUUAAGUAUCAUUUGCUCCAUUCACAUUACUAACCCUUGCAGUUAAUGAAUACAUUAGCUAAUCACUGCAGUGCCGAUUCAAUCGACAUUCUAUGUGCCUGUGCUAUGGAAGCCUGAGAGAGUUUUACUGAAUUCAGAUUCAAUAUUGAACAUAUCUUACAUGCUUAUCAGUGUAUUUUUAAUGACACUAAAUGUGAAUUGUAACCUCCAGUGCCUGAUGCUUGUCCUUGUGCUGUGGAGGAUCAAAUGGUACCAGCUGGAAGCAAGAGCAGCACACCUUGGAGAACACAGCAUUAGCUGCCUUAAGCAGAACUUGUAUUCUGGGACGUGAAAUCUAGCACUGCUUUCAAGUUUCAUGUAUAUUCACAUGUACAAUAGGAGAGGGUAUGCUUUGUGAGGAAGUGCUGUCCCAAAGGUGCAGCUGAUGAUAAUGCUCAAAAAACAAUUUUAAAGCACAUCCUGAGCUGUUUGCCAGUCAGCAUAGGGAUUGCAUUUGCCUCAGCAUAGGGAUUUUGUUUGUCUUUUGCUAUACACAGCACAGGCAGAAUGGGCUUUGGUGCCUAAUGGGCCCUCAGGGCACUCUUGAAACACAAAGUAAAAGGAUUAACCAAACUUUGCAUUUAUUUUAUUUUACUCCCUGGAGAUGUAUUGCAGGUAAUAGUUGUCUACAUAUUACAGAAUGAUGACCUGCUGGAGUUUUUUUUUGUGGCUAUUUUUUUAGGCUGUAGUAACCAGUGGUUCUUGAGGUAGUAUUUUGAAGAUCUUUCCAUUGCAAACAUUUAUAGGGAAAAUCACUCUACCAAACUGCAAAAAUUUGAGUCCAAGAGCUAAAAGAUGAUUUACACAAGUAGAGUGCCCUUCCAGCUGGACCUCUGGGUGUCAGGCCAGGAAAAAUAUUUGCAAUGGGAAGAAAAAAAAAAAAAGUGAAACCUGAUUUAAUCACUGUGAGUUUAAAGCAGAUUUUUUGAUAUUUUUUUUGUUUCACUAACAUACUAUGGUCACAUGCACUGAGCAAACCGACUAUUGAAUCUAAUUUCUUAAAUAUUAGAUGAUCUGGGACUAAGAGAAUUCAAAUAAGCAUUCAGCACCAAGGAUUCUUUCACAAACACGUGGGUUCUUUGUAGCUAAGACUGUGACAGAAUGCUGCUGGAAGAGCUUGAGUUGCACCAGCAGAGGAGCAUCACUAGGAACCUGUUUUUUAAGGGUCAAAAGUAGGAACUAUUGUCAGUACAGCAACCCUAUGUUUUCCAUUCGAUGUACACUUCCCCAGUGCAAUGCUGCUCCUUUGUUUCCCACACUCGUUAAAGAAUACCCGUUUCUUCAUCCCACAGCUGAUGCAGAUCCCUUUGCUCUCCCUUUUAGUACCUCAACCACUGCUGUCUUUCUCCUCUUUUCAGAAGUCUUUUUUCUUCUUCAAGCUCUAUCACUGCUACUUCUCAUUGUCCAUAUUUAUGAAUGACAGUUACUGCUGUGAAAAAAUAUUUGAACCUUAGUGUCAAAAUACACAGGGAUCUAUUACUGCUAGUAGCAGUGUUCAUAUCAUCACAAGCCAAAGCCAUACCUCCCAAGAUAUUGAACUUGCUUGUUUGCUUCCAUUCGUCUCUGAAGAUCUUGCUGCUAUAUCUCAAUUUUAAACAUUAAAAUCUUUAACCUUUUAGAUCCUAGAAAAUCUUUGCAAUUGGAUGUAUUUACAAAAACUAGUGCUUAGCAUAGUUUUGUUUCAUGUUUGCUUCUAAAGCUGUUUCCUUUAAAAUGGCUUAUCUUUCUUUGAAAGUAUAUAUUCAAGAAAAUAAUUGUAAUUAAUCUGGAAUUUGUUUCUUUUUUUCUGUUUAAUGUUAUAAACUGGAAAUACGAAGUCCGUUCUCAACUGGAGAUCUGUGCACAGGUCAGGACCAGCCUAAAGGCUACGAUGUAACUCAAAGGGAAGAAAUGACCCAUCACAGUGUUAGCAGAGGCCUUCUAACACCCAGCAGUUUUAAAUUUACCGUUACUUCAGGCCGUAUUAUGACUGGGAUGGUGUCCUCUUAUGUUUUUACAACACCUGAUGCACUGAGACCUGAAGACCUCCCUGCUGUGGAGGUGUUUGUAGAGAAUCAAGUGGAGGGUAAUUUCCCUAUAGAUGGCACACCCUAGAACCUUUGGAAUGACUUUUGGAAGAACUUUUUCAUACAGUGAAGCAUCUCACCGUUCUCCAGCAAAUCCUGGCAGGCACACACAGGCCAGCUUGCCUCCAAGGUCAGUACAGUUGCCGUAAU